rnacentral:rRNA from 1 species
UACGUAGGGUCCAAGCGUUUAUCCGGAAUCACUGGGCGUAAAGCGUGCGCAGGCGGAUGAUCAAGUGAGAUGUUAAAUCGCGUGGCUCAACCAUGUCGCUGUAUCUCAUACUGGUCGUCUAGAGGAUGGCAGAGGCUAGUGGAAUUUGUAGUGUAGCAGUGAAAUGCGUAGAUAUUACAAGGAACACCAAUGGCGAAGGCAGCUAGCUGGGCCAUUUCUGACGCUCAGGCACGAAAGCGUGGGGAGCGAACAGG